GUUGGGCAUGGUGGCACAUGCCUGUAAUUCCAGCAACUUGGGAGGCUGAGGCAGGAGAAUAGCAAGUUUAAUAUUAGCCUCAGCAACUUAUGAGAUCCUGUCUCAA
rnacentral:sRNA from 1 species